UGGGGCUCCAUCCUUGGGUCAUUUGGGAGCAUCAGUUGAAGGUUCCUCAAAGAUACUAAACUAAAAUCAUUUUCAAAUUGAUUUCCCUUCGUCCUGCACAGGAUGCCUUCUGUUGUUCUUGUUGAGCAUCCUGUUUACUCUCAGCCCAGCCAAGCUUUGUACCCUCAGUGCUGGGACAGAGGAUGGCUGCUCCCUCGUCCUCCCCCCCCCAGCCAGUGUCUGGCUCCUGGCUGGCAUCCAGUCCUGCCUUUUUAGUGGUGGGCACCGGGCCCAAACGGAACCACAGCCCUCCUAUUUCCCUCCUCCAUGAGGUGGGGCGAAAGGGCUCCAUGGGGCUCAGACACUGAAGGAAGCAUCUGCAUGACUGAGCGGAGAAGGAAGGAGAUCUCCUGAAGCGGAAACGGUCUGUUGCCGAGCGGGGUCUUGGAAGGAAGCUGGAUAGAGAGAGAGCCUAAGAACGAGGAUGGAAGCUAAGAGCAGGGGAGCAUCUGUCAGAGGAAUAGCUCAUCCCAGUCCAUUCCAAUCCACCUUCUGCCAGAAUCUGUACAAGGACAAGGUGUGAAGCCGGAGGAAGAAACACGCCCCUGGGUCUGGGACAGUGACAUCACAGGCCAACCACCAACCAAGGCCAAGGAGACCAGAGCCUGGCUCCCUGCCCAGGACACCUAGUUACAUGGUGCUCACCUUGGCCCUGACUCCACCAUGGGCUGCAGGCUGCUCUGCUGUGUGGCUCUCUGUCUCCUGGAAGCAGUCCCCGUGGACGCUGCAGUUACCCAGACACCAAAACACCUGGUCGCAGCGACAGGGAGUAAGGGGACCCUGAAGUGCGAACAACAUCUGGGACAUAACGCUAUGUACCGGUACAAACAGAGUGCUCAGAGGCCACCGAAGCUCAUGUUUGCCUACAGCUAUAAGGAACUCCCCGAAAAUGACAGUGUCCCCAGUCGCUUCACACCCAAGCGCUCAGACAGCUCCCACCUGCACCUUCACGUGGCCGCCCUACAGCCAGAGGACUCCGCCCUGUAUCUCUGUGCGAGCAGCGAGGACACAGCCCCGCACAGCCAACUGCUCCCCGUGCACAAACCUCCUGGGUGCAGCGGGGGAGCCGUGGGGGCAACCAGGGCUCAGCUCGACAUCUCCGGUGGGACCCCAGACAGACAGAAACCCCAGGCCACGACGUGCCGGUCGGUUCGCUGGAUGCAGCAAGGCCCAGUUCCCUGCACAGACGCCCACAGCCUGUGGCCUGGCUCUGCCCGGGGCCAGACUGUGCCCGCGGCUGAGUGCGGGACGGAAAGGGUCCACCUCAAGUUCCUCCGGUAGCAUCCCAUCGGCACGUGGCCCCGGGGACUCUUUCAGGAGACGCGCUGCACUCUGGUCGCGGCGGCCCUGCCAAGCCUCCCGCCAACGCGUACCUUUCUCUGCCUGUUCCUUCCACCCAGGUGAGACCCUGGAUCUCAGCCCUGCUCCCAGCUCCAGAUGCGCUCCGAGCCCCUUUG